ensembl:ncRNA ZC250.6 ncRNA
UCUUCUAAUUUUGGCUUUGACAAAAAGUUCCCACGGCUCUUGGAAAACAAUGUACAAUCACCAUGUUUGAUAAGAGAUAACAGAGAGCACAUUUUUUGACCGGCCUUUCUCUCUCGCGAGUCUCAAGUGUCGCGCGGGGCGUAG